AGUCGAGCGGACUGAUGGGAAGCUUGCUCCCCAUCAAUCAGCGGCGGACGGGUGAGUAACACGUGGGUAACCUGCCUGUAAGACUGGGAUAACUCCGGGAAACCGGGGCUAAUACCGGAUAACUCAUUUCCUCGCAUGAGGAAAUGUUGAAAGGUGGCUUUUAGCUAUCACUUACAGAUGGACCCGCGGCGCAUUAGCUAGUUGGUGAGGUAACGGCUCACCAAGGCGACGAUGCGUAGCCGACCUGAGAGGGUGAUCGGCCACACUGGGACUGAGACACGGCCCAGACUCCUACGGGAGGCAGCAGUAGGGAAUCUUCCGCAAUGGACGAAAGUCUGACGGAGCAACGCCGCGUGAGUGAUGAAGGUUUUCGGAUCGUAAAACUCUGUUGUUAGGGAAGAACAAGUACCGUUCAAUAGGGCGGUACCUUGACGGUACCUAACCAGAAAGCCACGGCUAACUACGUGCCAGCAGCCGCGGUAAUACGUAGGUGGCAAGCGUUGUCCGGAAUUAUUGGGCGUAAAGCGCGCGCAGGUGGUUUCUUAAGUCUGAUGUGAAAGCCCACGGCUCACCGUGGAGGGUCAUUGGAA
rnacentral:rRNA from 1 species